CCUACGGGAGGCAGCAGUGGGGAAUAUUGGGCAAUGGGCGCAAGCCUGACCCAGCGACGCCGCGUGCGGGAAGACGGCCUUCGGAUUUGUAACCUCUUUUUGCAGGGAAGACAAAAGGGCGGUACCUGAGUAAGAAUCUCCGUCUAACUACAUGCCAGCAGCCGCGGUAAUACGGAGGGGGCAAGCGUUAUCCGGAUUUACUGGGUGUAAAGGGGGCGUAGACGGCAGUGUAAGUCUGCAGUGAAAGGCCGGGGCUCAACCGGCGAACUGCAGUGGAAACUGUACGGCUGGAGUGCAAGAGAGGUAAGUGGAAUUCAUAGUGUAGCGGUGAAAUGCGUAGAUAUUAGGAGGAACACCAGUGGCGAAGGCAGGUGACUGGACUGUAACUGACGUUGAGGCUCGAAAGCGUGGGGAGCAAACAGGAUUAGAUACCCCUGUAGUC
rnacentral:rRNA from 1 species